UUAUGUUAAUUAUGGCACAGGGCCGUUAAGUGAACCAUGAAACUGGGCCGUUUUGUGGCCAUGAUCCCUAAUUUGUGUUUUAAACUGCGUUUAUUUACUUUUAAGUCAUUUUAUUUUAGUUUUUUUUAUCACGUCCAACACGGACAUGAUUUGGUGUGCGGCGGCGCGCUCGGCGCACCCACGACCCAACGGACAGAGGCGGACCUGGGCGAACACAUUGCCGCCUCAAAGGAACAAAAUUCGGCCAAACCGAACAUUCGUUUGAGGUCGUGCGGUGGAGUUGGCCUUAUCUUUCCCGUCGGCUUGAACGCGCGUCCCGUGCGUUGAUCGGACCGCGCUGCAACGGGCGGUGGACGGACGGAGAAGGGGCCACCGCCAGGGUUUUGGACAGGACCAUGGUUCGUCCUUAUUUUGGACGGACAAACGGCCUAGCAAAUCAAAUUCCAGACCCAGGGGCGGAUCUGGGCCCCAGGACCCCAGGGCCCAGGCCCGGGGCGUGGCCUUUCUUUUUAGUUAUUACCGAGAUAUUUUUUAAUGGGCCCGGGGCUUAGCCCAACACACAGCCAGGGCCCAGGCCAGCCUCUCCAUCUUUGCACUCGCACACAGCCCAGGACCCAGGUCGCCCAGACCUAGCGACGCACACGCACACGAGCCGGAACUGCAGCGAGUUCCAGUGCGCAGCCGCCACCGCCCGUCCGUCUGAUUCCCCUCCGCUCCGGCGCUCCCGGCCGUCCUUGCCUGCUCGCCGGCUCUCUGCCUCUCUCUGCACGCCAGCUCUGCUCCGGGAUCCGGCCUCUCCUGCCCUUGUUUCCGCCUGUCUGCCACGCUCAACUGCACUGCAGGGAGUCCCAAACUCAGACUGGCCAGACCCAACUGGCUGCAGAUUGGUGUUGCUCUUCUUCCACCGUUGAUCAAGUUAUGAAAGACACUGAUGAAGCAAGCCAUUGAUUUGAAACAUAUUUGCAAGGAUGAGUAUCUCCGACAACAAUGUAGGAGAUAUGCCCUAGAUGCAAUAAUAAAUGCUAUUACUUAUCUCCAUGUUCAUAAUUAUGUUUAUGUUCCAUGC